CACAAUCGCAAAGCAACAAGCCAAAAAAUUACCCAAAAAAUCAUGGCCAACUUUAGCUUCUUCAUGUUGCUGCUGAUCGCCAUCUUUCUGAUUUGCGCCGGGUGCAUGCAGACCGUCCACGGAGCGGAUACAUCGGACACACUAACGAACGGAUUAGUUGACAGAGCAGCAGAGGCUGUAAACGGCAAAUCCUAGUUGCACGAAGAGACGGUCCGGGUAGUCCGACGAACCCAAAACGAAAUAUGACAAAGAUGAUCGGUUCCAAUAAAUAAUAUACAUUUAAUCCUGCACUAUUGAAAAACAAA